rnacentral:misc_RNA from 1 species
GGAGCCGUAUGCGGUAGUUCCGCACGUACGGAUCU